rnacentral:rRNA from 1 species
AACGCGAAGAACCUUACCUAGGCUUGACAUGCUGGUGGUAGGCGCCGGAAACGGUGGCCGACCCUUCGGGGAGCCAGCACAGGUGCUGCAUGGCUGUCGUUAGCUCGUGUCGUGAGAUGUUGGGUUAAGUCCCGCAACGAACGCAACCCCCGCCCUGUGUUGCCAGCAUUAAGUUGGGGACUCACAGGGGACUGCCGGUGACAAACCGGAGGAAGGUGGGGAUGACGUCAAGUCAUCAUGGCCCUUAUGCCCAGGGCUAGAAACGUGCUACAAUGGCCGGUACAAUGGGCUGCGAUGCCGCGAGGCGGAGCGAAUCCCAUCAAAGCCGGUCUAAGUUCGGAUUGGAGUCUGCAACUCGACUCCAUGAAGGCGGAGUGCUAGUAAUCGCGAUCAGCAUGC